GAAAGAUGACCUUAAGGGGAAUGCAGGGGGGAUUCAGACAGGCUUUGGUCAAAGCCCCCAGAUCUAAUGUAAUUUCAAGCUGGCCUCAAAUUCAAUUUGUGUGGAACCUCUAAGUCAUCUAUUCUGCCACGACAUACAGUAUAAUUGCAUUUGAACAGCUUCCAACAGAGCACUGAGCAAGUGUCCUGUUCCAGGCCCUCGGUGCCUGCAAGGCCGGCGGCCCCGAUGACCACACAGGAGGACCGGCUCGGAUCGCAGUCUGCCUGCCGAUCCCACCUGCUGACCAUUGCCCUGCACAGGAAGCACGUGUUUCUGCUUAACUCCUGCCCGCGUUUGGCUGUCAGCAGGGAAUUUUUGAGGAAUGCGACCAUCACUUUAUGGAGGAACAGACUGUUCUGAACUUCACAGAAUAUAUUACUAUGGAAGUCGGUGUUCAGAAAGUCAAGCAGAAAUGGCUGUGAGUUUAUUUCUGUCCAAUGGCGUUUUUAACGCAGGAAAGAGCCACAGUGGAGACAGACUCAGAGAACCCUACACCAGCAUAUUUCUGCACGUUUUCUAGUAAACAUAAACACUCCACUGUCUUUAUUUACAUGGUCCUAUUUUCAUUCUACCUGUGUAUUUUUAGGAAGUUCAAUAAAAUAUUUGCUCAGGAAGUACUCCGGACAUGUGAAGGCCCAAGGUGCCAAGUCAUACAAAGAACUGGAUGCAAGAGAGGAACAGGAAGUUGAAUGGGUGAAAAGUGGUUGGGCAGAGAAGCACAAAAGGGAAGGGAAAAAAAGUGCAGAAUGAC